UAUGUUAACUUUGAAAAGUGUUCCUUUAAGUGAAAACGGACUCUGCUUUUAGACGUUUGGACUUCCCUCCCCAGCCCUAGGUACUGAUUGUUGGGGCAGAGUGACAUUUUCCUACAAUGCUGGCUCAUUAUUUUGCUUCUGGAAUUGCAAAUGCAAGGAUCGAAUGGCAUGGUCUGAAUACAUCAAGGAGCGGAGGGGAUCUCACCAGAGGUGCCCCGAAACAAAGGAAACAAAUCACUUCAAAACCACAUCAUGCAAUCUGGACCCGUUACAGGACAGAUGGAACUCUGAAUUGUUUGAUUCUAUCAGCAGAACAGAGGAAGGAAAUGUUUUAAAAUGAGAUUAUGUUAUUUUCCCCAGUUCUUAUUAUGAAACCUUCCUGCAAUGAACUUUAAAUACCAGCAGCCCCUUUCAUGGGGAUGAAUGGGAUCCAGCCGGCAGGAGGAUUGCAGGGAAGUGGUUCCAUUAUGAAAAAUGUGGAGAGGUAGAGGUUGAGAUGAAUAGUGGAUCCCUGUGGGGUCCUUAGGCUCAGUGAAAAAUCAGGCUCUAAAACACAGCUGCGCGUCUUAGGAAGGGAUGGGUGUCUUUGAAAAAGCUAUGUGCCCCAUGUAAACAUCAAUUAAGGGGUCCUUUUCAAAAGACCUCAAUUGUAAUGAAUAAAAAGUCUUCCGC
rnacentral:lncRNA from 1 species